CUUUCUCUUAUCCUCUUAACCUCACUUUCAGAUGGAUCUGGUUUUCUUCUCUCUAACCUUCAUGUUCUCUCCGUCGAAGAAGUUUGUAGAGGAUCUGAAGGAGUCAAUCGAAGGAUCUAAAGAAGUAAACUUUCAGGGUUUGUGUUAUGGAUUUGUGGUCUACAAACAGAAUAUGGAUAUGGGUUUUUCUUGAUGGAACUUGAUAUUGAGGUACUUAUUAUCUUUGCUUAUACCAGGCCUGCAUAGUCCAGGUAACGAUAUUGAUGUGUAUUUGAGACCAUUAAUAGAUGAGCUGGAGAAAUUAUGGGAGGAAGGGGUGGACACGUAUGACUCCUCACGAAAUGAAAUGUUCAAUCUGAAUGCGGGAUUGCUAUGGACUAUAAGUGAUUAUUCUGGACUUGCAAUGCUCUCUGGAUGGAGUAAUAAAGGUAAUUUGGCAUGUUCAACAUGUCUUGAAGAAACUCGGCACCAAUGGUUGAAGAAUGGAAGAAAAACAGUCUACAUGGGCCAACGACGAUUCUUACCGUGAAUCAUAGGUUUCGCACCACACUUAAGAAAGAUUUUGUUGGAAAAGUAGAACUUAGCCCACGUCCAAACCCAUUGUUAGGGCCUGAUAUCUUGAGCUUGCUGAAAGACAUUCCGCACACAUUUGGGAAACAAUUUGAGGAGAAUUUUGAGGGGAGAUCAUCCACGCAAGAGAAAAUCGCGAGGAUCAAGUAGAGCCGCAAAUAAUAUGCCAAGCAAUUGAAGAAAUUGAGUAUUUUUAUGAACUUCCAUACUGGGCAAAUAAUCUUCUCAAACAUAACAUAGAAAUUGACUCAGGUGCUUGUUUUUUUUUUUUAAACAAGGGAAUGGGAUCUCUCUUUUUUGUUUUCAUGCCAUCAGGUGUGUUCUUAUCAUGUCCCAAACUUUCCACAGGCAUUUUGGAUGUUGAUAAUCUUAGUUACCAGCUUUUUGAACUCUCUUGAGUGUUUUGUUGCCUAUAAUGCGUCAAUGUAAAACUUUGUUAUGAAUGAUAUACGAAUUCUACAAUGGAAGGUUAUGCGAGUUUUGACAAUC